GAUGAAGAACGCAGUGAAAUGCGAUAAGUAAUGUGAAUUGCAGAAUUCAGUGAACCAUCGAAUCUUUAAACGCACAUUGCGCCCGGCAGUAAUCUGCCGGGCAUGCCUGUCCGAGCGUCAUUUCUACCCUCGAGCGAGUCCAGCAUCUAGGUGCUGGGCCUCGCCCGGCGUUGGAGCACUACGGGAAGCCCUGUGCUGUCCCCCGUAGGCCCCGAAAUGAAGUGGCGGUCCUGCCGCGGCGCCCCCUGCGUAGUAUAACAGCUCGCUUCGGGACCCGGUGGAGGCCUGCCGUCAAACCUAUACUCUCUAAGUUUGACCUCGGAUCAGGUAGGGUUACCCGCUGAACUUAAGCAUAUCAAUAAGCGGAGGA
rnacentral:misc_RNA from 1 species